AUUGAACGCUGGCGGCAGGCCUAACACAUGCAAGUCGAGCGAGAGGCGGACGGGUGAGUAAUGUAUGAGGAUCUGCCCGAUAGAGGGGGAUAACUACUGGAAACGGUGGCUAAUACCGCAUACUAUCGGAUGAACCCAUACUGGAUUAGCUAGUAGGUGGGGUAAAGGCUCACCAAUGCGACGAUCUCUAGCUGGUCUGAGAGGAUGAUCAGCCACACUGGGACUGAGACACGGCCCAGACUCCUACGGGAGGCAGCAGUGGGGAAUCGUGCACAAUGGGCGAAAGUCUGAUGCAGCCAUGCCGCGUGUAUGAAGAAGGCCUUAGGGGUGUAAAGUACUUUCAGCGGGGAGGCGUUACCCACCGAAGAAGCACCGGCUAACUCCGUGCCAGCAGCCGCGGUAAUUC
rnacentral:rRNA from 1 species